rnacentral:rRNA from 1 species
UUGUCCUACGGGGGGCAGCAGUGAGGAAUAUUGGUCAAUGGGCGGAAGCCUGAACCAGCCAAGUCGCGUGAGGGAAUAAGGCCCUACGGGUCGUAAACCUCUUUUGCCGGGGAGCAAGGGCCGGGACGCGUCCCGGCCCGGAGAGUACCCGGAGAAAAAGCAUCGGCUACCUCCGUGCCAGCAGCCGCGGUAAUACGGAGGAUGCGAGCGUUAUCCGGAUUUAUUGGGUUUAAAGGGUGCGUAGGCGGGCUUUUAGGCCAGCGUGAAAAAUUGGGGGCUAAACCCCGUCCGGCCGUUGAAACUGG